rnacentral:rRNA from 1 species
ACUUUAAAAGCUUGCUUUUAAAGUUAGCGGCGGACGAGUGAGGAACACGUGGGCAACUUGCCCA